rnacentral:rRNA from 1 species
UUGAACGCUGGCGGCAUGCCUUACACAUGCAAGUCGAACGGUAGAGGGGCAACCCUUGAGAGUGGCGAACGGGUGAGUAAUAUAUCGGAACGUGCCCAGUCGUGGGGGAUAACGCAGCGAAAGCUGCGCUAAUACCGCAUACGAUCUAUGGAUGAAAGCGGGGGAUCGCAAAGACCUCGCGCGAUUGGAGCGGCCGAUAUCAGAUUAGGUAGUUGGUGGGGUAAAA